UGUGUUGUGGCUCAGUGGUAGAGUACUCGUCUAGCAGGUGUGAGGCACUGGGUUCAAUCCUCAGCACCACAU
rnacentral:tRNA from 1 species